CUUACCAACUGAACAACAACAGGAAAGUUGAAGAAAGUGAGCUCCCUGGAAUAAAUAAUUUGAAGCCAGAUGGGCCCCCAGUGUUCCACAGGAAGACCCCAAGGACACCCCAUCCAUGGAGUCCAUGGGGACCACCCUGGUGACAGGGGUAGCUACAUCACUGGGGAGUUCAGUGCUGGCUCCUCUGAAGGCUGGCAUGACGGAGGAGAGAGAGUCAGGUGACCCCAGUUCUACGGGACAGCACUCAGUUGAAGUCACCAAAGCCAGCCAAAGCCAGCCAAAGCCAGCUUUAGAACACAGAAACAGGAGGGACACACCCAACAGCUGAGGAAGCAGGAAACAUCUACUCUAAAACUGAAGAACAAAAACAUGAAAACUGAGAGCAUCUUUUGUAUAUUUUUGUGUAGUUUGUUCCCACUAAACUUUCCUGAAAACAUUCACACU
ensembl:lncRNA